rnacentral:rRNA from 1 species
GUGCCAGCCGCCGCGGUAAUACGAAGGGGGCUAGCGUUGUUCGGAAUUACUGGGCGUAAAGGGCGCGUAGGCGGCCAUUCAAGUUAGAUGUGAAAGCCCUGGGCUCAACCUAGGAAUUGCAUUUGAUACUGUUUGGCUUGAGUUCGGGAGAGGUGAGUGGAAUUCCCAGUGUAGAGGUGAAAUUCGUAGAUAUUGGGAAGAACACCAGUGGCGAAGGCGGCUCACUGGACCGACACUGACGCUGAGGCGCGAAAGCGUGGGGAGCAAACAGGAUUAGAUACCCUGGUAGUCC